UCUCUAGCUUUUUCUCUGCGCGACCCCCUGCCCGAGUCUAGUCUGUUCAUGUCUGGGGUAGUACCGUAGUAGCCCCUAGGUGGAGACGCUCCUGCUGACUCUGCCCCAAAAUCACUAGGGGACCUGUCCUCCAUUCCCCCAUCCUUUUCACUGAUUCCUCGUGCUCUUGCCGCCGACCAUCUUCCCCAAGCGCGGCGGCUGCUCCGUCGACCACCACGCUCCACCGCGCCGCCGGGAGCAUUUUUCCCCGCCUGCCACCUUGCCCGCUGUUGUGGCCGUCAGAUCUGCAACGGCAUGGUGGCUGCUCCGCCGUCCCUCUAGUCGUCUCCAUCGUGCUGCCGUGCAGCCUUGCCUCUAGUCGUCUCCACUGCCCCGCCGUUCUGCUGUCGUACCUCCAGUCUUCUAUGUUGUUCCACUGGCCCGCAGGCAAUGGCUGCCAGUGCAACUCGGAUAUUCCCAGAGUUUGGUAGUGGACGGUUCGGAAGAUGUCCUAUCCGCCAUUGUUGUAUGCGCGCGACACCAUCUCCUCCAGCAGCUUCAUGCCCACCGUGCUGGUGCCCGUGGAGAACGCGCGAGCGCGGUGCGCACGAGGCCGGACGCCAUCUCGCGCACCAGCGACGCCAUGGGCGCGGUGAGCGCCUGGAACACAAGGUGGAUGUGGUAGCGGUCGCUGUACAGCGUGCUGGUGAGCCGCUCGCCGAGGCCGACCUGCUAGUGAGCAGCUAGCCGUGAGUUAAUAUUUUCAAAACUGUAAUUAACUCCAGGUGUCUUCGAGUUCAUACAAUCUUGUUUCGAACAAAUACAUGGCAUGUUGUUCCCGGCCAUGCCGUCGAGGAGGAGCAUGGGCUCCGGUGGCGUCGAGCUUAAAGCCAGGCUAGUUUCACUCGAUCGAGGAGGGCGACUCUUCUUCAGAUGCUGGGUUCCAAGUUUCGACGAGGGCGACGAUGAGCUGCUUAGAUACCGUCUUCAUUUUGGCGACGACGCGUCCGAAACAUCAUGCAGCGACGGGUCAGCGCUUGGCUCGUUUGAUUCUGCUUUGGCCGGCAGCAAUUUCUCGUUAGUUAGCAGUUACGCGCGAAUGGUGGCAAUUUGCUAUGUAACAACGUCAGGUUGUUCUGUUUGAAGCCAUUUAUGGGUUCAUUUUUAUCGACAGGAGCUUUUGCCCAUCCUUUUGUCAUUUUUUUCUCGAUCUUUUAUUUGGUAGCGAUCUAGUUCUGUAAAUGAAAUACUGGAAGAUUCCUAUUCUCUA